rnacentral:lncRNA from 1 species
AACAAGAGGAUAACUUAGCGGUGAAUUGUCAUUUUAGGAUCAUAAGGUGUACGAAAUGAUGAUUCGGAGAAUUAAUAAAGGGUCAUACAAGGUUUCCAUAAAAAAGAUAUGCGAAAUACAAUGUGCCCAUAUCAAAGCACAAACCUCUCACAGGAGUAGGUCCCAAAGUGGGAUCCACACACUAUGGAACCCACCCUUUUUGAGAGGCAUGCAUCCGUGAUUGUGCACUUUGUCUAUGCAUAGGACUUUU